ACAAAAAGAUGCGUGCUGUUGAGAUGCCUCAAUCAAGAUGGUCGAGCACUUCAACAAAAAAACAAAGGGGAAAAAAGAAAGAAAGAUGACAAUACACUUUCGAGCCCGAGACAUGAAUUCUUGUAGGCAGUCUCAAUCAGCCACUUGAUUGGUGUCAGUUAUCUGUUCCUCACGCUCGUUUCAUCCAAAGCAAUCGAGUUAGCAGCAGCAGAGCGCAUGCGUUGAAUGAUUUCCCUUCUCACGGCAUUGGACAUGUCUCCUACUCGUAAAAUGAUUUCGCUUCUUCGCUCGGAGGACAAGCAGAGCAAUUCUAACUCAUUGGCACAAUCAGCAACUUUCUCAUCCUCGAGAUUCCUUGUACCCUUCAUUCAAUGAUUUCUCACCCUCGCUUCGAUCCACCACACACAUUUAUUCUUCUCGUCCUUGGCCAGAUUUUUCACCACGGAGAUCAUCGUUUUCCCUCCCCUGCCGAGAAAUGAAUUCAAGUUCAGAUCGCAGAAACAUGGCAGUGCUGCCAUCAUUCACAGACCGUUCUGCCAAGGUGAGCUGUGAUCAGGUAGACAGUGUUGCGGUAUGGUACAUCAUUACUUCUGUUCUAUUGUUGCUCAGAUGGUAAUGAUAGUUCAAAGGCUUAAAUUACACCAAGCACCUAAAAGUUCUGUAUCAAAACUGAACAGCUUAUGCAUCACAGCCAAAACAUGUUUUGCAUGCUCUUUUAAAGUAUAGUUUUAAUUUAGAAACAUAAGCAAUUUUCUACUGAAACAUAAGCUUAAUUACUGAAGAUAUAGAGGAUAAUAAAAGGUUUCAGUGGCAACAUGAAGUCAAAAAGUUAGAGUCUUCCUUAUUCGAAGGGUAGUAAUAAAACAUAACUGCAAGGGUACCAAGUACAUACCUGGAUCUCAUUAGGUCAAGUGGCCUCUCUUCCCCAGGGCACACCUCCCAUCAAGCAUAUACAUUGACCUACUGGAACAAAGAGAGCAUGCUCAUUAAUAACCAUGGCUUGGAAGCAGCUUGAUGAUGAGGAAAAGAUGGAGAUGCAUGCUACUUACCACCCACCAUUUGCAUGCAUGUAGAUAUCAAAUUCAAAUGCACAACCUGCAACUGAAAAGGGCUCAGACAAAUAAAUAUUUAAAUGUAAUAAGGAACCACAUGGGGGGUCUCUUCCAGACUCAUGCCCCCAGGUAAUAAUAUUUCCAUGUUUCCUGCAGUUAUAUCUACCACUAUUCCUGGCUUGUCAAAACAGUUUCUUAAGGUAAAUUAACAUGACCAGCACAGAGGCCACCGGGCUCUUUAUUUAUACCUUCUCUGUCAUGCAAAUGGAAAUAACAAGAUUCUGGAAGACAUUAUAAGCAAACAAGAUAAAUUAUCAUGACCAAGACAGAGGCCUGAACAUCAGUACUGGACCCAGCUGCAUCAAUAAAGUAAAGUUGUAGU
rnacentral:lncRNA from 1 species